CGUGCCUAACACAUGCAAGUCGAACGGAGCUCCGCCCUUCGGGACGGAACUUAGUGGCGAACGGGUGAGUAACGCGUGAAGAACCUGCCUUCCAGUGGGGGGACAACAGUUGGAAACGACUGCUAAUACCGCAUGAUACUUUUGAGGGGCAUCCCUUGAAAGUCAAAGCUUUAAGUGCUGGAAGAUGGCUUCGCGUCUGAUUAGCUAGUUGGUGGGGUAACGGCCCACCAAGGCGACGAUCAGUAGCCGGUCUGAGAGGAUGAACGGCCACAUUGGGACUGAGAUACGGCCCAGACUCCUACGGGAGGCAGCAGUGGGGAAUAUUGGGCAAUGGGGGAAACCCUGACCCAGCAACGCCGCGUGAAGGAAGAAGGCCUUCGGGUUGUAAACUUCUUUUACCAGGGACGAAGGACGUGACGGUACCUGGAGAAAAAGCAACGGCUAACUACGUGCCAGCAGCCGCGGUAAUACGUAGGUUGCAAGCGUUGUCCGGAUUUACUGGGUGUAAAGGGCGUGCAGGCGGAGGCGCAAGUUGGGAGUGAAAUCUAUGGGCUCAACCCAUAAACUGCUCUCAAAACUGUGUCCCUUGAGUAUCGGAGAGGCAAGCGGAAUUCCUAGUGUAGCGGUGAAAUGCGUAGAUAUUAGGAGGAACACCAGUGGCGAAGGCGGCUUGCUGGACGACAACUGACGCUGAGGCGCGAAAGCGUGGGGAGCAAACAGGAUUAGAUACCCUGGUAGUCCACGCUGUAAACGAUGAAUACUAGGUGUGGGUGGACUGACCCCUUCCGUGCCGCAGUUAACACAAUAAGUAUUCCACCUGGGGAGUACGACCGCAAGGUUGCAACUCAAAUGAAUUGAAGGAAUCA
rnacentral:rRNA from 1 species